CUCUUCCUUCUCUGCCUUCUCUCUACCCUUACACUCAUUUGAACCGUUGCAUUUCUAAUUAGGUGGUGUUCUUUCGCUCACGGAGUUGAGAGCUUCCCUUUUAUCCGAUUAGAUUUCCAUUUGGACGGGUGGUUGUAGGGUACUGUUUGGGUUUUCGCUGUGAAGGCACGGUUAGGGCACUCUAGUUGGCUAUACUGCUCAACUUCAAGAUGGCGAGGAGGUUCCUUUGGAGACAACUUUGGAAGUUGAGGACAAUGUUGCUGCCUAGUCUCCUAGGAUGUUAUUAGUUGAUUCUGUAUUCUGAAAUACUAUUUUCCUUUCAGCUUACAUUUUAGAUCUCUUUGGAUUUUAAACUUAGAUUUUGAAGUUACUUUGAGAUGACUGUAAUCCUAUUUACU